rnacentral:rRNA from 1 species
UACGUAGGGUGCAAGCGUUGUUCGGAAUCACUGGGCGUAAAGAGAGCGUAGGCGGGAUUGUAAGUUAGAAGUUUAAUACAAGGGCUCAACCCUUGGCUGGCUUUUAAUACUGCAGUUCUUGAAUGUGGGAGAGGGCGAUGGAAUUCCAGGUGUAGCGGUGGAAUGCGUAGAUAUCUGGAAGAACACCAGUAGCGAAGGCGGUCGCCUGGCCUAACAUUGACGCUGAGGCUCGAAAGCUAGGGGAGCAAACAGGAUUAGAUACCCUGGUAGUCCUAGCCGUAAACGAUGAACACUAGUUGCCGGAGGAGUCAAUCUUUUUGGUGACGAAGCUAACGCAUUAAGUGUUCCGCCUGGGAAGUACGCUCGCAAGAGUGAA